GAUUCUGUGUUUCCCUCUCUCUCUGCCCCUCCCCUUUUCACGCUCUGUCUCUGUCUCUGUUUCAAGAAUAAAUAAACAUUAAAAAAAAAAGAAGAGAAAGGAGCCAGAUCUAAUGCUACUGAGAGGUCAAAUAAGGUGAGGACUGAGAGUUGAGCCUUGGAUCUGGCAGGAUAUAGUCAAUGGUGACCUUGAAAGAGUGGUGCUAGUGAAGUGUUGGGGAUAUGAGCAUGACUGGAGUAGGCUGAAGAAAGAAUCAGAGGUGAGGAAGUGAAAACAGAGGGCAUGGACAUCUUUUUAAAGGUGUUUUACUAUGAAUAGAAACAGGGAAAUGGAGAGGUAGCUGGAGAAGUCAAAGGUGUUUUUAUUUUGUAUUUUUGUAGUGAUGAACAUAAUUACUAGAAGGGGAAAAUGUGAUAAUGCUGGAGAGAAAAAAGGAUACCACUACUACAAAGACCUGAAGGAUGUAGGAAGGGAUGGGUUCCAAGUCCAAGUGGAUGGACUGGCCUUAGGUUGAAGCAUGACUGCUUAUCCAUUGAAGCAGAAAAGAAGGAAGACUACAUGAGUAUAAAUGCAAGCAGGGUAAUAGACUUGGUGAUGUGAGGUUGAGGUCGUUUUCUUCUGAUGGUCUCACUUUUCUCAGUGAAAUAAGACAUGAGAUGGUCAGUGGAAAGUGAAGAAAGGAAAAGGAAAUGUUGGAAACUGGAGAAUAUUUGAUGGAAUAGUCAGACAAUCUUUUUACUUUGCCACCAUUGCCUUUGAUUCCUUUGUGAUUUCAUGAGAAAAUAGAUCCCAAAUAUAGACUUGGUAAUUUAUUCAACAGAGAGAGAGUUCAGAAGAAAUAGGACCCCUAGGUGGCUGCCAACUCUGUGAGCUAGGGGAAGUGGGCUAUAUAAAAAGGGAUAAAAUAUUGGUGGCUAUGUCAAAUGAACCUCCUCUGAGGACUCUCAGUGGAGGGGGAGGCUAUCAUCAGAGCCCUUGCCUCCAUCCAAGAUGCCCCAUUUGGCUAAAGUCAUGAUGCUUGAGGCAUAUUCUCCAGCUGUCCAGGGCUGACCCAACUCAUUCUGUCCCUCACUAAGUUGCUUAGAGAUGUUUACCUAACAAACUAAGUAAAUCCUCACUCUACAUUGAUGUUAUGCCUCUUUCAUAUUUGUGAAAGAACUCUUGAGUCUCAUAUCUGCAUGUACUACAGACCCAACAGUAGGUGCUUAGGGAAGGAGUAUAUUGACUAGAGGACUUCCCAGAUGGUAUUUAUCUAUUAUGCUCCCUGGAAGAUAUUUGAAUUCUGUUUAAAUGCUAUCUGUACACAGGGGUUAAUUGGAAUCCUAAUAUUCAAAGAUCCUUGCUUGGUGUUCUGAUAACUAGAAAGUAAAAAAGCUGGGCUUGUGGAUGAUUAAGAAGAAAUAGUGAAAUUAAAGGAGAUAUCUCUUUUACUUCUGUAGCCCUGAAAGAAUGACAACAUGAGAACCAAACAGACCUUUCUUCCCUCUUUAAGGUGGUGACAUUACAUUUUCAUGGCCCUUUUCACUCUUUCUCCCCAGGGAUGCUGCUGUGAUGUACACCAUUCUUAGGGCAAUGAUACUUUCUUUUCAUAUGUAUUUUUAUGUCUCUUAAUAAAUAAAGUAAAUGAAAAAAAAGUAUGUACAAAAAGAACUAUUUAGUACUAUUAUUUAAUAGUAUUUAAAUCAAACCAGUUUCUUUGGGAUGAGUUCUGUGUACAUGUUUCCUCAUUACUGACAAAUCACCUAGUUGCUUGCCACUGCUUAUUGAUUACCCUAGGUACGUUGUAUUUAUCAUCUUAUUCAAUCCUCAGAACUGCUUUCUCAUUGCCGUUUCACAGAUGAGGUUAGAGGCCCAGAAAGGUUUAAAUAGCCUAUUCAAAGCCACAUACCCAGUGAGUGGGAGAGUGAAGAAUUUAACUCUGGUCUCUCUGUUUCCAAACCCAGAGAGCUUUCCACUACACCACAUUGCCCAUCAUAUAGUCAGUGAUAAUAAUGGCUUGGUUAUUUGUAUUUGCAAAACAUCAUUUAUUGAACCUAUAAAUAUUACUAUCUUCUUUGUGUUUUGGAGAAAGGAAGGAAAGAACCAACAUUUAUUGGACACCUUAUAUAUGUCAGAUAUAAUCUUAGUCACACUCACAUACCAGACAUGUUAUGUUGUCCUCAUUUUACACGUGAGAAAAUGAAACUUAACAGAGAAAUUGAGUUGCCCAGUGUCACAGCUCGCAAAGGAGUUAAGAGUCAAUCCCAGUGCUUCCCUUAGCAAAUCUAAGCUCUAUUGGAGCAGGGAGAGAGUCUGUUUUUAAUCACUAUUAUCCCUAAUGUCUGGUAGAACAUCUGACUGUGGCACAUAGUAGGUGCCCAAGAAAAAUUUAAUGCAUGGAUAAGGAUUGAACAUGCUGUAAGCUGCAAUUAAAAUGCACCGAGCCUUGUGCUGUGCUUUCUAGAGUAUUCUAAUGGCUGUUGGCAUAAUGCAGUGAGAAGGUUCUGGAAAUGAAUCGGUGAAAGCAUGUAUGUUUCUGAUUGCAGAACCCCUGCUCUUCUCACAGCUGUGCAAUCUCAGCGAUGGAAUUGCUUUUAUAUUUUUGGGAAAACCGAGGCACAAAAGUUACUUUGGCAAAGACUUUUGCAAGUCAGUGGACAAUUUGUGACACAACUGAAGUCUUGAGAUUCUCACCUUUAUUGCCCUAACUACUUAACAACCCUGCAGUCCCUGUGGGGUUAUAGCUUUCUGUAAAUCUGGUACUUAAUCAUUUAAAGGGAUGGCAAUUUAUCUUAAAUACGCACCUUAUUAUGGAUGUGACACACUUAACACAGAUGGUCUCAGAAGUUUUUCCUGGCUUCCCCUACCCUAACAGUAUCUAGUAUGUUAAUGUCAAUAUUAGCUUUACUGUUUUAGGUAACUUUGGUAUGCUUCUCAUUAGCUGGAACCGUAAAGAGCUCAGUUUUACCUGCGCUGAGGGAUCGCUAAAUUCCUAUUGGCAUCUGAGUGCACAGUCCCAUGUUGAAAGUGAGGUCAUGUUUCUCCUGGAUUGUGCCUGUAUCUGAUGAGCCUGGGCUGGCGUGAAUCCGAGACAAUGAAAUAAUCACAGCCAUUAGCUCACCCGGGCCCUAUUAAGAUGCGGCCUGGCUUUCCACCCAUUUCUCCUGCCUGGAAAAACUGACACAGUCAUGGUUUGUAAAGGUUAGCGGAGAAGGAACUGCUUCCACGACCGAAACGGCACCACCCUACUUAGACCUGGGACCACUCUGCUGCUUGAUCUCAGGAAACGGCACUUCAGGAGCCGUGAAUUUUUCGUCUAACCAUGUGGACUAGUAUACCAGUUGUUCUCAACCCAGGAUGAUAUUGCCCCCCAGGGGACAUCUGGCAACUUCUGAAGUCAUUUUGGCUGUCACAACUGGAAGGAAAUCCUAAUGGGUCCACCCAGGGAUACUGCUAAACAUCCUACGAUGCACAAGACAAUUCCCACAAUCGAGACUUAUCCAACCCAAAAUGUCAACAGUGCCUAGGCCGAAAAAACCCUGUGGUGUAUAAUACAGAUAUACAUGGAGUAAAUGUAACUGAA